rnacentral:rRNA from 1 species
AAAAUAUCUAUCCUCCCUCUAAGCCUAGGUAGAAAACUAAGUUAUAAGACAAGGAUGAACACGAUAUAUGGUACUUUUUAAAAUCUGGUUCCCAAAGAAAUAAAACAUUUUAAAAAGAAUUUUAAAAUAAUGUAUUUAGCUUAUGCUGAGUAUAUAUUAGUGAGCAACUAAUUUAAAAAUAUUUAAGGAAUAAUAGUCCCCUCUGUUAUAAUAAAUUACUAUUGACCUAAUUUAUUUAUUAAGCUUCUCUUCUUAUUUGGGUAAUUAAUUCUAAGAAUUAGAACUUGUUUACACUAGUAAAUAUACUUUUAUUAUUUUCUUACUUAAAUAAGUUUUAUCAAUUUUAAAUUAAAUAUAAACUAAAUAACUUGAGAUUCUCCAAACUGUUUAACAAAGACAUAGUAAGACUGUGUCUUAUGUAUCUGCCCAAUGAAUAAUUUUUUAUGGCUUUAAAGUAGCGCAAUAAUUAGUUUAUUAAUUGUAAACCUGUAUGAAGCUAGCAUUGGUUAAUCAUGUUUAUUCUUAUCUGUUGAAUCUUAGGUAUCAGUACAAACGCUGAUAUGCUCCCCGAAGACGAUAAGACCCUAAGACCUUCACCUUGUUUGGCUGGGAUAGCCUACUUAAUAUAAUAAAGAAACCUUAAUUAUUACGAACCAAUUAUUUUGCUAUACAUAGGUACCUUAGGGAUAACAGCGCGUAAUACUUUUAGAGCUCUUAUUUAAAAGAUAUUCGUGACCUCGAUGUUGAAUUAAGUAAUAUAGUGCUGCAGAAGGUGCUAUUUUAAGUCUGUUCGACU